rnacentral:rRNA from 1 species
GAUGAACGCUGGCGGCGUGCCUAAUACAUGCAAGUCGAGCGAACGGACGAGAAGCUUGCUUCUCUGAUGUUAGCGGCGGACGGGUGAGUAACACGUGGAUAACCUACCUAUAAGACUGGGAUAACUUCGGGAAACCGGAGCUAAUACCGGAUAAUAUUUUGAACCGCAUGGUUCAAAAGUGAAAGACGGUCUUGCUGUCACUUAUAGAUGGGUCCGCGCUGCAUUAGCUAGUUGGUAAGGUAACGGCUUACCAAGGCAACGAUGCAUAGACGACCUGAGAGGGUGAUCGGCCACACUGGAACUGAGACACGGUCCAGACUCCUACGGGAGGCAGCAGUAGGGAAUCUUCCGCAAUGGGCGAAAGCCUGACGGAGCAACGCCGCGUGAGUGAUGAAGGUCUUCGGAUCGUAAAACUCUGUUAUUAGGGAAGAACAUAUGUGUAAGUAACUGUGCACAUCUUGACGGUACCUAAUCAGAAAGCCACGGCUAACUACGUG